rnacentral:rRNA from 1 species
GACGGUGCGCUAACCGUAAGGAGCCGCCUAGGGUAAAACUGGUGACUGGGGCU